UUUAUUUAUGUACCUAUUUUUAAGGGAAUAUUGUUUGUUAUGCCACUUUCAUAACUCAAAAUUAUGUUUCUGCCACUUUGACCAAAACCUUCUCAAAAAUGCCAGUUUCUCCAUUUGUGGCAGUGACACAAAUGACGAAAUUGCCCUCACAGAAAAAACAAAAAAAAAAUGAUGGACUAGAUCUGUUCCACCAGAACUGGUUCGAACCUAGUCUACCAAAAUUAGUUGACCGAAUCUUGUCCAUCUAUAGACAAAUUUAUGAUCUAUUGUGUAAAUCUAACUAGAUCAUGGAUAAAAUCUU
rnacentral:lncRNA from 1 species